GUCAGAUGGCAGGAGGCUGGCAACCAGGCUUCUCCAGUGCACAGUGGCGAGGCUGGUUUCGCCACACUUCUCCCCUUUACCAAUCAGACUAACAGGGUAUCUGACCUCCUGCCGGUCAGUGCCCUUGUUAGUCCAGCAGCCCACCCACAAAACACAAUCAGUAAUACAGCCCACCCACAAUAACUGGCUACUACACCUGGGUAAAGGAGAACUUUGUCCGUGUCCAGGUGCCUCACCAUGGCUGUGUGGGUGACUGGUCAGCGUACUGGGUGGGUUGCUGAGUGGGCAGAGACCAGCGGUACUCGGUCCUGGUGCCAGCACUACCACGGGAGUAGUCUGGUUGGAGCCUGGUUGCUGGAGGGGGGGACAGACUGUCUCCC